rnacentral:lncRNA from 1 species
UAUCUUUCCCACUGUUCUGAUGAUUUAUGCGCUGCUCUAAAUAUCUAAACUUCUGGGUGAAAAAAAAACUAGAUGAAAAAAUAUAUAGCAGUGUGGUUAGCCGCUAUCGCGGAGCUUAGCCUUUAUUCCACGCCCUUAUCAUGGAAGCUAAGUGGUGUGGCACUCUACUAUCAUGGAGGUAUACUGUCUUGGGGUUCCAAAUAACCCUGAACCCUUUUGAAAAUUCCAAAACUUUUCUAAAAUGCCCUUUCAACAUACCUAAUCAUAAUUUAAGUCAAAAAUCAACAUUACGCACACGGGAUGGUUAAAAAUAAAAUGAUCAAAAUUUUAUGGGGUCUCAAGUAUGUAUGUAUUUAUGUACGUAUAUGUAUGUAUAUAUUUAUUCUCAUUAACGCUUGAUACAUAUACAAUGCACAUACCCUAAAUUAGUUACUAGAUAUAGAUGUAUAACUUUAUUUUUCUCUUCUCCUUUGCCUUCCCAUGUUUUCUCUUAUUUACCUAUUUUUUUUAUCUUUGUUAGGCUGAUGUCUACUUCUGAAAAGUCAAGGUAUUUUAUAUUCAAGAGUCCCCUAACCGAUGGUCACUUUGUCUUAAAGAAGAAAAUUAUGUUUUUAUUGAUUUUAUUAUUUAUUAUUGGUAUUUAAGAUUUUAUUGAUGGAGAGGAAUUGACAAAGCUUGUACCAAGAGACCCCGUUCUUUCAAAAUAGUUGAUGAAGAAAUAACAUGGUUUUCAUUUUAUUUUGUAUAUAAUAUUGGUGGAUACAUUGCUUAUAUAUCAUAUAUAUUGUUG